ACUGCAGCAUCGGCCCAGCCUCAGGGGACCCUCCCCUCAUCUUGGAGAAAUGGAGACUCCCAUUCCACCUCCAGACCUGGGAAAGUAGCAUGGGAGAUAGAGGCAGGAUUCCCGCAGAGCCCUGGACCCAUCUCUUCAAGACCCGGCCCAACAGCACGAUCAAUCACAGCUCUCCAGGCUGCACAUGGAGCUGGCAUGGUUCCCGGAGAAGUCACCAGCAUGAAUGGAUUCCUUGCCCUGCCACCCCAGCCCCCAGCGGAUGAGGAAUAGUCAGCCAUGAGGCAACAGGAGGCCUCAUCUGCCCUGGGAGCUUCCUCCUUCCUACGGAGAAAGUGCCAGUUCCAGGCUGGAGACUCCAGGCCCAGGCUCAACCUUGCCUGCUCGCCUACACCCUCCCAGGAUCUGAAGGUGUUGUGUGCACCGUGGAACAGUGCUGUAGGCACAGGGACCUAUCAAAGUCUUAGGAGCCUGGGAAGCUGUCCUGGGUGUAGUACACAACAAAAUGAGCCAGGUAUGCAGGUAUACACCUUUAA